rnacentral:lncRNA from 1 species
UUUGAAUGUGAGAUGGAGAGGAGGAACUUGGUAUUGGCAGCCAGAACUGAAAGAAAACAAGAAAAUCCAGGACAUAGCUUCCUCGUGGCAAGCAAACCUAGCGGGAAGCAGCAACAUCAAGGAGAAGCAGAAGUAGUCACAGUAGAAGCCGAGACAUGCGUGUGCCGGGGUUCCUAGAGCCAGUGGCAAAGGAUGCCUGAUACUGUACGGGAGCUGCUGGGAGUCACUACUCGUCAUGGAGGGCACCCUGAGGCCCCAUGGAGCCAAGGAGAAUAGCUGGUCACUGGAGCCCAGGAACAACACCUCAAAACCUUCCAGAAAGCCCAAGAAAUUACAAAGUCACGCUGGCAGUGGUCCCACAGGUCACCCUGCAACUGCCGCGUCCUCUCCUGUGUUUGGUGUUUUCAAAUGUUCAGCAGCAAACCCGUGGAGCUGGGCUUCUCAACCAGCAGCUCAGUCUAUGAGGUCAACCUCCAAACUGGUUUCCACAGUAAAACCAUCCUUUCCUCUGGUUGGAAGGGAUUCAGGCUCCCUCUCAACCCCCAAUCAGCACUUGCACCCUCAGAAUGAACUACUCCUG